rnacentral:rRNA from 1 species
UACGGAGGGUGCAAGCAUUAAUCGGAUUUAUUGGGCGUAAAGAGGGCGUAGGCGGAGAUUUAAGUCAGAUGUGAAAGCCCGGGGCUCAACCCCGGAACGGCAUUUGAAACUGGAUUUCUUGAGGAUAGUCGGAGAAAACGGAAUUCCACAUGUAGCGGUGAAAUGCGUAGAUAUGUGGAAGAACACCGGUGGCGAAGGCGGUUUUCUAGAUUAUUCCUGACGCUGAGGCCCGAAAGCAAGGGGAGCAAACAGG